rnacentral:rRNA from 1 species
AGUGAACGCUGGCGGUAGGCCUAACACAUGCAAGUCGAACGGCAGCACAGUAAGAGCUUGCUCUUACGGGUGGCGAGUGGCGGACGGGUGAGGAAUACAUCGGAAUCUACUUUUUCGUGGGGGAUAACGUAGGGAAACUUACGCUAAUACCGCAUACGACCUACGGGUGAAAGCAGGGGAUCUUCGGACCUUGCGCGAUUGAAUGAGCCGAUGUCGGAUUAGCUAGUUGGCGGGGUAAAGGCCCACCAAGGCGACGAUCCGUAGCUGGUCUGAGAGGAUGAUCAGCCACACUGGAACUGAGACACGGGCCAGACUCCUACGGGAGGCAGCAGUGGGGAAUAUUGGACAAUGGGCGCAAGCCUGAUCCAGCCAUACCGCGUGGGUGAAGAAGGCCUUCGGGUUGUAAAGCCCUUUUGUUGGGAAAGAAAAGCAGCAGGUUAAUACCCCGCUGUUCUGACGGGACCCAAAGAAUAAGCACCGGCGAACUUCGU